UACGUAGGGGCGAGCGUUGUCCGGAAUUAUUGGGCGUAAAGGGCGCGCAGGCGGUCUUCUAAGUCUGAUGUGAAAGCCCACGGCUUAACCGUGGAGGGUCAUUGGAAACUGGAGGACUUGAGUACAGAAGAGGAGAGUGGAAUUCCACGUGGAGCGGUGAAAUGCGUAGAGAUGUGGAGGAACACCAGUGGCGAAGGCGACUCUCUGGUCUGUAACUGACGCUGAGGUGCGAAAGCGUGGGUAGCGAACAGGAUUAGAUACCCCCGUAGU
rnacentral:rRNA from 1 species